rnacentral:tRNA from 1 species
UGUCUUUAUAAUUUAAACAAAAUGCCGGUCUUGUAAGCCGGAAAUAGGUCAACGAACCUUAAAGACAA